AAGGAACCCAAAGUCCUCUGGAUAUCUAAUAUGACAUCUUGACCAGAAAGAGCCCAGUCUGGACACUGCGGAGCCUUCCUGCAUGCUCCUCCUCAUCCUCCUGUAACUGGAAAUACGUGAUGACUUUGUGAUCGGCAGCUGAGAACAUGUGGUUAUCAGCACCCAGACUUUAACUUUUGCAAGGAAGUGACAUAGCAACCUGGCAAUGGGCUAUCAUUAAUUUGGGGGCUUCGUAUGGUGACUGAGGCUUUGAAUUAAAGGAGCAACUUCAAGGUACCUGAUUUCCCCACCACAUGACCCUGUCUCUUACCCACUCCCAAAGCAUAAGGAGGAGAUUUCUCUGAAGCUCUCUUCCCAGAUAGUAUACAAUUAUUAGGCAAUCUCAUUAACCAGGAAAGAUGAACCACCCAGAAAGAAAGAGGCAAGAGUGAUGUACCCGCAGGACACCGGCACCUGUGGACUUCUCAUUGGUUCUGAAGGCAGCUCCUAAGAGAUUGCAUGAUAGAUUUUAUCUGCAUAAUCAGACAACCUUGUUGGUGUCCAUGCUUCCCCUCCUUCUCUGCUGUACCUUGGGAUGUUAUUUAGGCUCAAUCAUCUGUCCUUCUCGGAGGCUUAUACUUUGUGUGGGAUCCCUGUGCUGAUUGCGUUUUCCCCUGUGUACGAUAAUAUGUGUAUCUUUUUUUUUCCUAUUUAAUCUGUUCAUUUCUGCCAAGUUUCAGAGGACCAAGGGGAAGUUUCUUUUUUGUCCCUGCCUUGGCAAAGAUGUGGGUUGGGCUCUGUGGAUUGUUCAUAUUGACCUCAAGCACCAGAGACAUACAUAAGCCAGGUCCAAGCAGAAUAGUGUGGGAGGGAAGAAAAGAUAUUACGGCACACAGAAGGUGAUAUAUCUAUGGAUGGUUAACCUACAAAUUAUGUGUUACUGGAAUCCUAGGCUAGAAGCCCAUCUCUGGGCAAUCUAAGAAAUCAGAUCCAGUGACUUGAUUCAAAAACCAAUCAGAAAAAUAAUGUUGAAAAGCAGGAAAGGAUUGAUGUAUCCACACCAGGAGGACAAGGGAAUCCAUGUCCUUUUCCCUGUCUUUGAGGGGCUUUUGAUGAUUUUGAGGUUUGACCCAGCUAUCCCCCUCCUCGGUCUAUUCUCUAAAGACCUAAAAAGAGCAUACUAUAGGGACACUGCUACAUCGAUGUUCAUAGCAGCACAAUUCACAAUAGCUAGACUGUGGAACCAACCUAGAUGCCCUUCAAUAGAUGAAUGGAUAAAAAAAAAUGUGGCAUUUAUACACAAUGGAGUAUUACUCUGCACUAAAGGAUGACAAAAUCGUGGAAUUUGCAGGGAAAUGGAUGUCAUUAGAGCAGACUAUGCUAAGUGAAGCUAGCCAAUCCCUAAAAAACAAAUGCCAAAUGUCUUCUUUGAUAUAAGGAGAGCAACUAAGAACAGAGUAGGGAGGAAGAGCAUGAGAAGAAGAUUAACAUUAAACAGGUAUGAGAGGGGGGAGGGAAAGGGAGAGAGAAGGGUAAUUGCAUGGAAAUGGAAGGAGACCCUCAUUGUUAUACAAAAUUACAUACAAGAGGAAUUGAGGGGAAAGGGGAGAAAAAAAAAACAAGGGGGAGAAAUGAAUUACAG
rnacentral:lncRNA from 1 species